UGCCUCAGUACAGGCUGAAGCCAUGUUAUACUUUUCUCUAAUUGCUUUUCUUCUUUUUCAACCCUCACUUCCUCCCUUGAGACCCUGUCGACUGACUGAGCUGGUUUGCUCACUUCUGGAGACUGAGAGGAAACGCGAUAGGAGAUUCUCAACCACCAUCCCAGCUACCUGUGCUAAGGUCCCCCAAGUACACCAGAGUCGGACCUGGAGCAGAGGGACGCCAAUGAAAAUCACGUGAGAAUGUACUGAGAACCCAGAGGUAUGGACUUGCAAUAAACUCAUCUGCCUCAUCUGGAUUUGAUCUCUCAGGGGCAAAUGUUAGUCUUGGAAACUCACGGAGAGAAACUGACAAUACCAAAGAAUCAAUGCCAAAACAAGACACGGAAGAUCUGGAGGAAGCAGCCUCAGAGAGUUCAUUUACCUGAAGCUCUGUGUACACAGCAGAGGAGCAUCCCUCCCUGCAAUGGCAGCCAUCAGAAACCCACAUCGCCAUCAAGGACACACGUCAUCACU